rnacentral:misc_RNA from 1 species
GGGAUAUUCCUUUUCACCAAUUUCUCCCAUGAUUCGUUGGUUUCUUCUAUGACCUUCAGAGCAUAUUCCUUGCUUGUGGGUUUGUUGCCCAGACCAAAUCUGUUUGCAGGCUUACCGUCUGGUAUCUUGUAGUCCCUGAACCAGUCUCUGAUGGCAGUCAAUGUUCCCGGAAAAUGCUUCUCAACAUCAUCCACAUCAUUCACAAGAGAUGCUUUAGGAUCAUCCAAAGAAAUAGCCACAAUUUUCCAGUCAAGCUCA